rnacentral:rRNA from 1 species
UACGUAGGGGGCGAGCGUUGUCCGGAUUCAUUGGGCGUAAAGAGCUCGUAGGCGGUUUCGUAAGUCGGGUGUGAAAACCCCAGGCUCAACCUGGGGACGCCACCUGAUACUGCGAUGACUUGAGUCUGGUAGGGGACCACGGAAUUCCUGGUGUAGCGGUGAAAUGCGCAGAUAUCAGGAGGAACACCGGUGGCGAAGGCGGUGGUCUGGGCCAGUACUGACGCUGAGGAGCGAAAGCGUGGGUAGCAAA